UACGUAGGGUGCGAGCGUUGUCCGGAAUUAUUGGGCGUAAAGAGCUCGUAGGCGGUUUGUCACGUCUGCUGUGAAAUCCCGAGGCUCAACCUCCAGCCUGCAGUGGGUACGGGCAGACUAGAGUGCGGUAGGGGAGAUUGGAAUUCCUGGUGUAGCGGUGGAAUGCGCAGAUAUCAGGAGGAACACCGAUGGCGAAGGCAGAUCUCUGGGCCGUAACUGACGCUGAGGAGCGAAAGCAUGGGGAGCGAACAGG
rnacentral:rRNA from 1 species